rnacentral:rRNA from 1 species
ACGAACGCUGGCGGCGUGCCUAACACAUGCAAGUCGAACGGAGAUGUUUGAAAGCUUGCUGAUAGACAUCUUAGUGGCGCACGGGUGAGUAACACGUGGGCAACCUACCCGGGAGUUCGGGAUAACAGUGCGAAAGUACUGCUAAUACCGGAUAUUUCACGAAGCUGCAUGGUUUGUGAAGAAAGUUUUCGCUUCCCGGAUGGGCCCGCGUCCCAUUAGCUAGUUGGUGAGGUAACAGCUCACCAAGGCGACGAUGGGUAGCUG